CCCCGCCCUGUCCCGGCGGCAGCGCUCCAGCCCGCCCUUGCGUAUCCUCAUUUAGGAUCCUAAAAUCAUCUUUCGUGCGUGCCCUGGAUUUAAUCUCCCUCCGUCCCACACGAUGCCCGCAGCGGCGUGCCCUACAUAACAUGGGCAGGGAGAGGGACUUCACUGCAGUGCUGGCAUGGGCGGGCUGCUGGGGGAAGGGAGGAGAGGGCGCGUUUCCAAAUUGUCAUGAUCACAAGAAAUUCUUGUGAUUCUCCAAGCGGCUCCCUUGCUUUAGCAGCAAGGAUACCGUGCUGGGAUUUAAGCUGCUGAACACAAGAAGGGAGCAAAUAUUGCCAAUUUCGUUCCCGACAGCACAGCAGCGGCUGCUCUUCCCUCGGCAGGAUGGGCUGCAGCGAAGCUACGGGAAAGGGAGGGGUGUGCUCCGCUGAGAUCGGCCCGUCUGCAUCCAACACAGCCGCGAGAGCAGAGGCAUUCCCAUCCGUGCCAGCAGAAAAUAAAGACAUUGUCUCAGUCACCCAAGACCAUUCACAUUGUCAGCAUAGCCAUUACUUGGAAAUUUUCGUUCCUUCUCACAUGAGAUGUCUUCUGCUGCACAUCCCACAAAUCAAGCCUACUGUUCAAAGUCUCUGUGGAGGCUCCAGGCCCACCCACAGGGUUUGAUUCUUGCACCAAACCCAGCUUGGUUCUCUGGAACAAGUAGUAGUUUUCUGGGGCACUGCCAUCCACAAGAUAAACUGCAGAUACGAGCAUUCCUGAAAGAGGCAAUCUUGGGAGCUGCCAGGGACAGGACUGUUGUGGUGGAAAAUUAGUCAGCUGGAGCUCUCAUCUGGUCUGGUCUGGUCCCUGCUCUUGUCUUUGCUGCACCUGGAGCUGUUUUCAGGAAACACCACUCCUGUCCCAGAGGCACCAGGACACACUGCUCUUGCCUGGAGGAAGAACCACAAAGAAACACGAGGUGACCGUCAAUCUGGGAGGGAGAGAAGUUAUGUGGAAUGGACAGGUCUUGUCCUCUCCACUCCCAUCCUGGGGAGAAAAGGGUGAGGCUGAAUGAGACAUGGCUCAGCUCCUGACCAGAGCCCGCAGCUUUCCAGGAAGCCCCAAUAGCUGUGUGUCCACAGGACCUCUGCCCAGAGCCAUCCCAUAGAACCCAACCAAGUCUGUUCAGUGCCUUCCUGCACCACAUAUCAAACAGCUGUGAGCUUCAGCCAGCGUGCCCACAGCCUUUCCUCCUCCUCUUCCCUCCAACUAGUCACUCCCAGCCAGGCUUCUCUGACUAUCUAGCUUGUUGCUUGUUGCUUUCUGGCCCAUGUUUUUCCCCCCAGCUGUCCUACAUAGUUACAUCCUCUGUGCCCAGCCAGUGACCAACACACCUCCCAGCUCAUACGUGUCAGGAACUGUCUGCUGCUCACUGUGCACAGGACACUACACAACAUGGCCCUGUUCCUGGUGGCAAUGGCAGCAGCAAACACAAUGAAGGGGAUGACAGCAUUUGCAUCAUCUGCUGUCACUGCCCAGAAAUAUUUCUCUCUAGUGUAGUAGGCAGACUUCAUUACAGGAUUGCUUAGGAUUCUCAUCUGCAGCAAACCCCUUCUGCCAGGCUGCUGUGUGAUGGCAUUAACCAUCUUCAAUGAGAAGCCUUCCUCCCACCUCUCAGGGGUUUCUACCCUGCUCCUCUCAAUCUUCCACAGAACCUAGAUUUUUCCUGACUGAUCUGGGUCUCUUCUGCCUUGUCUUUGUAUCUGCUGAAGUUCCUAGGAAGAUCUGAUUCUUGAAAUCACCACUCCUUUUCUUCCUCUCCAAAAUACAAGUUUAUUUCAGUGAAGAAAUAUGGUUUACAGCUGAAGCUCAAACCCACAAGGAAAACAGGUGUUCUUCUCCUGAUUCUUUGUCUUUCUCACAAUUUGACAAUUUUGGUUUCAAUUGUACUGGAAAAGCUACCCUCAGCUCUUGUCAGCAUGGCCUCAACAAUCUUUGGAAUGUAAAAUUAAUGUCUCUCACAUUGUAUGUAUUUAAUUGAUGCACCGGAAGCGCACACAGCUCCUCAUUCCCUGUGCACUACAAGAAUGUGUUCAGGCCUCUUCUUUGGCCAGAAGGACAUAAGUUCUUAUGUGUGUAUGAAGGCACAUCAAGGAGAAGUGUGACAAAUCUUGUCUCUUCAGGCCUCACUGGAUAUGACUGGAUAUUCUGGUCACUACCAGUUUAUUCAGCAGUAACAGGGCAUAUCUAUGGGACUCCUGUGUCUUCACAUCUCCAGUUUUGAUUUUAUCAAGAAUCUAGAUUAAUUUGCAUCGUGAUGGAUUAAAAAAAUAAAGAAGCUGGGGUUAUUAAUAAACGUUUUCACAGUGACCUCUUCCCCCAGUGCAGUUUCCUCACACAGCAUCCUCUCUAGGAGGAAAGUAAGGGCAUGGAUGCUUCCCAUAGCCCAAGCUGUGUGCAAGUUGGUGAGCAGGGCUAAGGACAUGUUCCCUAGCAGGGUGCACACUGCUAGGCAAAAGAACUGGCCAACCCAGUUGAACAGAGCAGCCUACACAGAAGAACCUCUAGAUGAAGGUGUUUACCCUAUUACUGGAGGUUUCAAAACACAGGUUACCCAAACACCUGAAACUAUGUGUUAAUGCACAGCACAUGGAUUCUUGGCACUAGGGAGCAAGAAAAACAUCUUAAAUACACCUAAAGUUCACUAGAAUUGUGUGUCUGAUGAAGAACUGCAUCAACUGUUAAUAUGCACAUAGGUAAUUUUCCACUCAGCAAGAAGAGUAGCAGAUUAUACUUAAAGAUGGGAGAAAGCCACAGUGGUCCAAUGCUUGACGUGCUCCCUUUGCUUCCCUCCUCAGCUGGGAAACCCGAAAGCAAGAUAAAAUCCUGUGCAGGCUGUUUGAAAAACACAAACACACUCUGGAUCAGGAG